AGCAGCUGAAGCCAGUGAGGCUGCCCAUCGCUGCAGCCCCUGCUCAGAUCCUCCCUCGAUUGCCUCAAGCUUGGGGGAUGGGCAGGGGGAUGGCCCUUCAGUGAUUGGCUCUGGAAGGCCUGUCUCCUCAGGCCUCUUUCUUCCCAGUUACUGACCAAUCUACCCCCCAGCCUCGAGCGCACUGAGGCAUUGUGGGCAGCCAGGCAGUUGGUUUGUUCAGACUUUUGGACUCAGGUUUCUGUUUCCUUGUCUGUGAAAUAAGAGGUUGGACCAGAUGAGUUCUUAGUUCUACGAUUCCACGAAUGUCUUAGAAAGCAAAAUGCACAGAGCCAAAUUUCCUUUGCCAUGCCGAACGCCAGGGCAGCGGAGCCAGCAGUGUCGAUGCUGUAAAGCCCCAAGGAGAGUUCUAGACGGAAGGGCGCUGCUGUGUCCUGGUAAUGAUGUCAGGUGACUCAGACAGGUCUGGGACUGGAGAAGCUGGCUGUCUUGUCUGAACCUCCUUUGAAGUGGUGGUUUGCAACACUUUUACGAACUGGAGGUUGAACGAGAACAUGAAAGUCAUCUCAUUGGUAUGUUGUAUUUUCCCAAACACACCAUUUCAAAUCAAAACAUGGAAACAACUGUCUUAUUUUAGGAUUAUGCUUUGUAUUUGAACAUGCUGCUUACCAUCUAUUAGCUGACGGGGCUCUGGGACGCUCAGAGAACGAGUGACUGAGGUUUCCAGUCCUAAGGAGGUUGCUUUCAGCUCAGUCCAGGGAAGGAGAUUUUAACAAGCUGAGCUGGCCUUUUGAGGUGAGGAAUUGCCCGUCAAAGAAAAGCUCAGUGCUUACCCUCCCAACUCCCCGAGGCUCUCCUGCCCCCGAGUCAGGGAGACCCCUCCCCCCCAAAGCAGCCCCUCCUCCUCACUCUGCCAUGCCAUCCUGGCUUAGUGCUUUCACACUGAGCACUCCCUAAAAGUGCCACGUUCGUUUAGGUUUUACUUGUUGGUCAUCAUCUCACCAAACUGAAGGUAAAGUCUGGCAGAGCAGGCGCCGGGGCCCUGUUCACCGUGCUCUCUCCAGUGUUCCAUCUCCUGGCACUUAGCGGACACUCAGCAAAUACUGAAGGGAUAAAAUUCUGCUAUUGGUCCAGGGCUUUCUAGCUUCCAGUUUUGCAAGCCCAUCGUCCUACGGGAUUAGGCACUUCAAGAGCCUGGUUGCAGAUGUUCGAAGGAGCCGUGGUGUCCUGCGGUUAAUGAGAGUGGAGCCAGCACUGGGAGUGGGAUGUGUUUAGUCUUUCGUGGGCUGUGUGUCCUUGGGUGAGUCACCUAACCUUUCUGGGUCUUGGUUGCUUCAUCUGUAAAGGAGAGAGCUGGAUUCAGUUAUCUCCAAGGCUCUUUCCAGCUGGACUCCCUCGGGAUUCAAGGAUCCUGUGUUUGCACUCUCUCCUCUGUUCUCAAACUGUUUGUUCAGCUCUCUUUUAUUAGGGGUUCUAGGCCUAUUAAAACAGAAAAAAAAAUUAACUAGCCUUGGGACGUGAAGAGUAAAUAUGAGUGCAAAUGGAUUAUUUUAUUCUACAUAACAAAUUACAAGGGGCACAGGUA
rnacentral:lncRNA from 1 species